rfam:Corynebacterium glutamicum ATCC 13032 DNA, complete genome.
UUCACUGUUUCUCACACUACGGAUCGUUCGGCACGUACCUGCCGAUGGAGGAGAUUCUG